rnacentral:rRNA from 1 species
UACGUAGGAGGCAAGCGUUAUCCGGAAUGACUGGGCGUAAAGGGUGCGUAGGUGGUUUGACAAGUUGGUAGCGCAACUCCGGGGCUCAACCUCGGCACUACUACCAAAACUGUUGAACUUGAGUGCAGGAGGGGCAAAUGGAAUUCCUAGUGUAGCGGUGGAAUGCGUAGAUAUUAGGAGGAACACCAGUGGCGAAGGCGAUUUGCUGGACUGUAACUGACACUGAGGCACGAAAGCGUGGGGAGCAAACAGG